rnacentral:rRNA from 1 species
GAUGAACGCUGGCGGCGUGCCUAAUACAUGCAAGUCGAGCGAACGGACGAGAAGCUUGCUUCUCUGAUGUUAGCGGCGGACGGGUGAGUAACACGUGGAUAACCUACCUAUAAGACUGGGAUAACUUCGGGAAACCGGCGCUAAUACCGGAUAAUAUUUUGAACCGCAUGGUUCAAAAGUGAAAGACGGUCUUGCUGUCACUUAUAGAUGGAUCCGCGCUGCAUUAGCUAGUUGGUAAGGUAACGGCUUACCAAGGGAACGAUGCAUAGCCGACCUGAGAGGGGGAUCGGCCACACUGGAACUGAGACACGGUCCAGACUCCUACGGGAGGCAGCAGUAGGGAAUCUUCCGCAAUGGGCGAAAGCCUGACGGAGCAACGCCGCGUGAGUGAUGAAGGUCUUCGGAUCGUAAAACUCUGUUAUUAGGGAAGAACAUAUGUGUAAGGAACUGUGCACAUCUUGACGGUACCUAAUCAGAAAGCCACGGCUAACUACGUG